rnacentral:rRNA from 1 species
ACUUAAAUUGAAGAGUUUGAUCAUGGCUCAGAUUGAACGCUGGCGGCAGGCCUAACACAUGCAAGUCGAACGGUAACAGGAAGCAGCUUGCUGCUUCGCUGACGAGUGGCGGACGGGUGAGUAAUGUCUGGGAAACUGCCCGAUGGAGGGGGAUAACUACUGGAAACGGUAGCUAAUACCGCAUAAUGUCGAAAGACCAAAGAGGGGGACCUUCGGGCCUCUU